UACGUAGGGUGCAAGCGUUAUCCGGAAUUAUUGGGCGUAAAGAGCUCGGUAGGCGGUCUGUCGCGUCGGAUGUGAAAACCCAGGGCUCAACCCUGGGCCUGCAUUCGAUACGGGCAGACUAGAGUGUGGCAGGGGAGACUGGAAUUCCUGGUGUAGCGGUGAAAUGCGCAGAUAUCAGGAGGAACACCGGUGGCGAAGGCGGGUCUCUGGGCCAAUACUGACGCUGAGGAGCGAAAGCGUGGGGAGCGAACAGG
rnacentral:rRNA from 1 species